rnacentral:miRNA from 1 species
UCACAAUUGCAAAGGUCGGAGA